GAUGAACGCUAGCGACAGGCUUAACACAUGCAAGUCGAGGGGCAGCAUAAAAGUAGCAAUACUUUGGUGGCGACCGGCGCACGGGUGAGUAACGCGUAUGCAACCUACCUAUCAGAGGGGGAUAACCCGGCGAAAGUCGGACUAAUACCGCAUAAAACAGGGGCACCGCAUGGUGAUAUUUGUUAAAAAUUUAUUGCUGAUAGAUGGGCAUGCGUUCCAUUAGGUAGUUGGAGAGGUAACGGCUCACCAAGCCCACGAUGGAUAGGGGAACUGAGAGGUUGGUCCCCCACACUGGUACUGAGACACGGACCAGACUCCUACGGGAGGCAGCAGUGAGGGAUAUUGGUCAAUGGGCGAGAGCCUGAACCAGCCAAGUCGCGUGAAGGAAGACGGUUCUAUGAAUUGUAAACUUCUUUUGUGCAGGAAUAAAGUGGGUUACGUGUAACCUUCUGUAUGUACUGUACGAAUAAGGAUCGGCUAACUCCGUGCCAGCAGCCGCGGUAAAGGU
rnacentral:rRNA from 1 species